CCUAUAUCUACACAUUCAUUACACAAUUAGAGGAGAAAAAAAAACAGGGGAUAGAAGAUAGGGACGGAAAACAGAAAAACGAAAGGCAGAGAACACAUUUUUUUUGAAGCUAAUUCCUCGAACCCCCAUUCUUGCAAUAAAAAGCUUCAGCCGCAGACCAAAAGAAAAAGGCUCUGGAUCUCUCUGUUCUCUUAGACACACAACAUACAGAAAAAGGGGAGGGCACGAUUUGCUGGGUGGAACCUUUCCUCUUUUCUUUGUGUCCCCAUAGUCAGACAGAAAACUUAGGCACAUAGCAGGGGAGGAACGAAACAGUCAAAAAACAGAGAGAAAAAGGAUGUCACCUGAAACCUCCCCAUAAUAGUCCCAAAUCAGUUGCAAACUCCAGCCCAAGAGAGUAGCAAAUAAGCUGUGAAUCUGCUAAAAAUUAGUCCAAAACCUCACAUCAAAACAGUCCCAAACCCAGCCAUUAGAGCCACCCAAAACUAGCUGUGUUGCAACAUGAAACCAACUACUAAACCCUCUUUCUUCAACCUUAAAAAUGCCGUAGCUACACCUCCAUUCAUUGCCGUUGUUCUCUUAAGAUGAGGAAGUCCAGCGAGGUCAAUGUCGAGGUCGUCGUCUUGGGUCGAGAUACAGGAGCCUCGAGUACUGCUAGCGAGCGCUGAUUGCUUCCAGUGGGCUAUUCGGAGUUCACUAGGUAGCUGCUCAGCAUUCGCAACCCAGUGUUUCUCCCUCUUAUCUUUAUUUUCCCUUGUACUGAAUUCUGUAAUAGACUGUGUAGCCCAUUUUCCAUACUCUUAGACUUAUGUUAGAUUCUCACGACUGGUGACAUCCCGAUGUCGGGCUGUGUUUAUUUUCCGCAAAUGUUCUAUCUCACUUUUAUUUUGGGAUUUAUAGUAUGUUAAUGACUUAAAUUGUAUUACUAUAACUGUUAAAAAUGAA